rnacentral:lncRNA from 1 species
GUUCUCCAAAAGGCAUUGGGGUGGAAGGCCAGGUAGGCUCUGAAGCAUACACCUACACCCUUCCCUCCGUGCCGUUCCUGUCCUCAAAGAAGAAAAACUUAAACAAAUAAAUAAACAAAAAAAGCAGCCAAGCAGGGCAGCCGCACCCAGCGUCCUGGCUGCGGCAGGAACAUUCCGUCUCGGAGCUCCAGUGGGUCUCUGUUUGUGCAGGCAGAGCUGUCUGACGCCAUUGCCCGCAAGCUGGCAUUUCUGUCCUGGAGCCUCAGCGCCAUGGCCCAACCCUCCUCCGGGGGCUGGGCCUUUCAGGACUACGUCUGCAGGCAUUGUGCUGAGUAGCAGAGAGCUUGGAGAAGCCCUGACAGCAUCCUGUACACAAGGAUGCGGGAGAUUCCUCAUCUUGACUGCAGCCUGCUCUCCCUUCGACAGAGAGAAGCAAAGACCUCGUGCCACAGGGCCCAGUGGAGACAAGGUGAUGCCUCAUGCGGGACUAAAGGAAGAGUGGACACACAACUGCCUGGGCUGGUGAUCACCUUCAUUAACACCAAAUCCUCUCAACUGGGAUCAGUGCGUGGUGAGCGGCUCCUCUGAACCCUUCCAGCGUCGGGAACAGCCUGGACUGGCAGAAACACCCACAAACGUAAUUAGCCCAGGAAGCCGAGCUGCGUCACCCUCACCCUCACACGGGCUCUGAAGCUCCGGUGUUUGCGGCUUCGUGCUCAUUCCCAUGCUUAUUUUUUAAGGCUUCCUGUCUGGUUGCCUGUCUUGAGGUGUCCCUGGGGACUCAAAUGAUGUGUGUCGACAUUCUCCUGAAGUUACAGAAGUCCUUCAUGACCCAAAUUUAAAAUAUCAUCUCCCAGGGGCUGGGGAUUUAGCUCAGUGGUAGAGUGCUUACCUUGGAAGCGCAAGGCCCUGGGUUCGGUCCCCAGCUCCGAAAAAAAGAACCAAAAAAAUAAAAUAAAAUAAAAUAUCAUCUCCCCAGACAGAUAGAUGGCAGUGAUCUGCCUAUGGACUGGAUUGGUUCAAAUUAAAUUUGACCUAAGGAGGCCUCCAUAGGGGUGCCUGCGUCAGAUUUUGCAGCCUAGUUUGGUGGUC